rnacentral:rRNA from 1 species
GACGAACCACACAAACGUUAUUCGGAAUUACUGGGCUUAAAGGGUGCGUAGGCUGCGCAGAAAGUUGGGUGUGAAAUCCCUCGGCUCAACCGAGGAACUGCGCCCAAUACUACUGUGCUCGAGGGAGACAGAGGUGAGCGGAACUUAGGGUGGAGCGGUGAAAUGCGUUGAUAUCCUAAGGAACACCCGUGGCGAAAGCGGCUCACUGGGUCUCUUCUGACGCUGAGGCACGAAAGCUAGGGUAGCGAACAGG